rnacentral:rRNA from 1 species
UGGGGGACAACAGUUGGAAAACGACUGCUAAAUACCGCAUAAUGUUAGUUUUUGGGGGGCACUCCCCGAAAUACCAAAGCUUUAUGUGCUGAAAGAUGGUCUCGCGUCUGAUUAGCUAGAUGGCGGGGUAACGGCCCACCAUGGCGACGAUCAGUAGCCGGUCUGAGAGGAUGAACGGCCACAUUGGGACUGAGAUACGACCCAGACUCCUACGGGGAGGCAGCAGGUGGGGAAUAGUUGGGCAAUGGGGGAAAACCCCUGACCCAGCAACGCCGCGUGAAGGAAGAAAGGCCUUCGGGUUGUAAACUUCUUUUAGCAGGGACGAAGAACGUGACGGUACCUGCAGAAAAAGCAACGGCUAACUACGUG